AACAAAAAAGAAUGAGUCUGGGAGAAAUACUCGCAGUGCAUAUACCUGACAAAGGACUUGAAUUCAAUACAAUAUAAAGAUGCUUUUACAAAUUUGUAAGAGGACAACUCCAUAAAGAAAAGGGCAUAAGAUUUGAACAUAAACUUUACACAGAAGAUAUGUAAAUGAUAACAUAGUUGCAGAAGUGUUGGACGCGAAUAGUGAAAACCUACGUCUGUCCCCGAGAACUUUGGCUAAGCAUUAUGGCCGUUUUGUCUGUUACUGCUACAAAUAUGGCACACCAUCUUGGA